rnacentral:lncRNA from 1 species
UUUUGUUCAAACUCAUUGUAUUCUACUGAAUGUGUCAUCGAAAUGAUACAGGAUUCAUCAUAAUUGUCUGCUGUUUGUAUUGAACUUGCUAGAUAACCGACUCCAGCAUGGACCAAUCUCUAUUAUUCCAUCUUCUAGAGAAUCUUUGAUAACUGAUUGGUGGUUUCAUGUGUUUCUAAAUUGGCAUGACUGACUUUAUGAGAAGUUACAUCCUUUCAUGAAAAAGGACUUACAGUCAACAAGAUUCCUUGUUUGCUGACCCGCUGGCUACUAUGCUACCUUGCAGUCCUUGCUACCCUUGAAUCUCCCUAUUUGUCAACAGCAAAAAAAGAGUUUAAAUAUUGUGAUCAUGCUUUCAUAAUGUUGCCUAUUAAGACCAAAUAUCCCUCCAAAAUAAGGCAAUGACCACACGUUCAACGCGGAUCAUUCGUUCUGUCAUCGAACUUGACUCAUUCCAUCUUCUGGAUUGCUUAGGAAAGCUGAUUGGUGUUACCUGGCCAUUUAGGUAAUGACCAAGAAGAUGCGGCCAACAUGAACAUCAUUUAGACGGCCAGCAACAUUCGACUGCCCAACCGACUUCUACUACCCUGCUCUCAACACAGCACGGAGUUUUACCCUUUAGAUUUUUGGCUGUUCGCGAUGUGUGAUGGUGUUUCCUUGGACGAGAUGAUGAUUUUGGCGAGAAAAAUGUUGCGUUCUAACCUUCAGGUUCCUAAAUAUGAAAAGUAAUGUUCUUUCAAGAAAGUCAACGAGGUCCCUUACUCCCUUGUUUGCUAACCCAAUGGCUGCUACCCUUGAAUCUCCCUAUUUAGCUCCUUACACAGUCCCGAGGUAUUGCUUUUUGUCGCUACA